rnacentral:lncRNA from 1 species
AUUAUUAAUUUUGCAGCACUUUCUUCUGUCCUUUUUCUUCAGCUCCUUCUGCAAAUGAUGCUUUCUGUGUCUGCCUAGCAGUGUAACUGACACAGAGUCCAGAUAUUCUUCAAGCUUUCCUUGUCUUCAUGGACCAUACACUGGGUCUUCCAACCUCAAAGGUCCUUGUCUCCUGCUGCCCAGGAAGGGCUCGAUCAGUGGUGAAAACGAUAGUGAUCACAAA